UACAGAGGGUGCGAGCGUUAAUCGGAAUUACUGGGCGUAAAGCGUGCGUAGACGGUUAUGUAAGUCAGAUGUGAAAGCCCCGGGCUCAACCUGGGAAUUGCAUUUGAGACUGCAUAGCUAGGAUGCGGAAGAGGGAAGUGGAAUUUCCGGUGUAGCGGUGAAAUGCGUAGAUAUCGGAAGGAACAUCAGUGGCGAAAGCGACUUCCUGGUCCAGCAUCGACGUUCAGGCACGAAAGCGUGGGGGAGCAAACAGG
rnacentral:rRNA from 1 species